CAGCCGCCGCGGGAAUACGUAGGUGGCAAGUGUUGUCCGGAAUUAUUGGGCGUAAAGCGCGCGCAGGCGGUUUCUUAAGUCUGAUGUGAAAGCCCCCGGCUUAACCGGGGAGGGUCAUUGGAAACUGGGAGACUUAGAGUGCAGAAGAGGAGAGUGGAAUUCCAUGUGUAGCGGUGAAAUGCGUAGAUAUAUGGAGGAACACCAGUGGCGAAGGCGACUCUCUGGUCUGUAACUGACGCUGAGGCGCGAAAGCGUGGGGAGCAAACAGGAUUAGAUACCCCUGUAGUCCCUGUCUCUUAUU
rnacentral:rRNA from 1 species